UUUCGUGUCAAUUAUCCAUCGUGCCAAUAAGGUCACGAUCGUACACGAAGGGAGUCGGGAAAUGACGUAUUUCCGGUUGUGUCCGAGCCCACCUUCCUUGAUCUGAGGACUCACGGGCUCAAUCAUUUCGUCCGUGAUCAUCCAAUAAGUUGGAAGUGUCCGCGUUUGUCAGUUAUUAUUGCGAUUGUUCUAAACAACUAGGCAGAAAGUGUGCGUUUAGAUUUUGUGUGCGACAGUAGACAGAGAGAACCUAUAUCAAAGAUUGGCUUGAUAUCCUCCCACCCGCAGCAAACUAUCGCACCCAAGCGCGACGAAACCACCCCCCCCUCAAACGGACGGAAUAUUCCUGGCAACCACCAGCCAGCCAGAAGCGGACCGAUCCGUUACCAUAUCGGUCUGGGAAGGCACGGGGACUUCCACGUGGACGAAGCCCACUAGCCGGUCCGUCAAACCGCCGGCAAGCAACCGCCAUUCUGUUGCGUCGGCUUCAUUAAGAAGCGUCAUCGCCGGCGU